GAUGAACGCUGGCGGUAUGCUUAACACAUGCAAGUCGAACGGACUCUUCGGAGUUAGUGGCGGACGGGUGAGUAACGCGUGAGAAUCUGGCUUUGGGUUCGGGACAACCACUGGAAACGGUGGCUAAUACCGGAUGUGCCGAGAGGUAAAAGAGAAAUUGCCUGAAGAUGAGCUCGCGUCUGAUUAGCUAGUUGAUGAGGUAAAGGCUCACCAAGGCAGCGAUCAGUAGCUGGUCUGAGAGGAUGACCAGCCACACUGGGGCUGAGACACGGCCCAGACUCCUACGGGAGGCAGCAGUGGAGAAUUUUCCGCAAUGGGCGAAAGUGUGACGGAGCAAUACCGCGUGAGGGGAGAAGGCUCUUGGGUUGUAAACCUCUUUUCUUAGAGAAGAACAAAAUGACGGUACCUAAAGAAUCAGCAUCGGCUAACUCCGUG
rnacentral:rRNA from 1 species